rnacentral:lncRNA from 1 species
AAUUCCAUAAAUAGUUAUAAAAUUUCCAUACACAGUUUCUUAGAAUUACAUCAAUUCAUUGCCAGGUGCCCUAUUUUUUUACUAAAACACAAGACUAAUUUUCAAAUUACUUUGAACAAAUUAAAAGAGAAAUGUGUUAAACCCACUUCAAAACAGUUGUACCAAAACUUUAUAAAAUUUCUAUGUGCAUCGGGCAUCAAAUUGUGAAGAGGAUUUAAAGUCAAUGCUACUUAAGAUAUAGAGUAGUAAAUACUUGGUGUGGUCUUUAGACGAUUCCUUUAUUUACUGUUUUUUAAACGCUGAUGAUUCUGCUGAUAAUGAAUCAUAUUUCAAACAGAUUUU